AGAGUUUGAUCCUGGCUCAGAACGAACGCUGGCGGCAGGCCUAACACAUGCAAGUCGAGCGACCUCUUCGGAGGGAGCGGCGCACGGGUGAGUAACGCGUGGGUAUCUACCCUUAGGUGCGGGACAACAGUUGGAAACGACUGCUAAUACCGCAUAAUGACUCCGGUCCAAAGAUUUAUUGCCUAAGGAUGAGCCCGCGUUAGAUUAGCUAGUUGGUGAGGUAAGAGCUCACCAAGGCGACGAUCUAUAGCUGGUCUGAGAGGAUGAUCAGCCACACUGGAACUGAGACACGGUCCAGACUCCUACGGGAGGCAGCAGUGAGGAAUAUUGCGCAAUGGGGGAAACCCUGACGCAGCCAUGCCGCGUGAGUGAAGAAGGCCUUCGGGUUGUAAAACUCUUUCAGUAGUGAAGAUGAUGACGGUAACUACAGAAGAAGCUCCGCUAAC
rnacentral:rRNA from 1 species